rnacentral:rRNA from 1 species
GGUCAAGCUACAAAGAGCACAAGGGGAAUGCCUUGGCACCGAGAGCCGAAGAAGGACGUGACUAACUGCGAUAAGCUGCGGGGAGCCGUAAGUAGGCUUUGAUCCGCAGAUUUCCGAAUGGAGCAAUCCGGCAAGAGGAAAGUCUUGUCAUCAUAUACUGAAUACAUAGGUAUAUGAGGGGAACCGCCUGAACUGAAACAUCUAAGUAGGGCGAGGAAGAGAAAUCAACUGAGAUUCCGUAAGUAGUGGCGAGCGAACGCGGAAGAGGCCAAACCGAGAGUAGUAAUACUUUCGGGGUUCGGACAGAAUACGGCAUUGUAAAGGUUUAGUGGAAUGGAAUGGGAAGUCCAACCGAAGAAGGUGAGAGUCCUGUACACGAAAAGCCUGAACAGCCAUCU